rnacentral:rRNA from 1 species
GAUGAACGCUGGCGGCGUGCCUAAUACAUGCAAGUCGAGCGAACAGAUAAGGAGCUUGCUCCUUUGACGUUAGCGGCGGACGGGUGAGUAACACGUGGGUAACCUACCUAUAAGACUGGGAUAACUUCGGGAAACCGGAGCUAAUACCGGAUAACAUUUGGAACCGCAUGGUUCUAAAGUGAAAGAUGGUUUUGCUAUCACUUAUAGAUGGACCCGCGCCGUAUUAGCUAGUUGGUAAGGUAACGGCUUACCAAGGCGACGAUACGUAGCCGACCUGAGAGGGUGAUCGGCCACAAUGGAACUGAGACACGGUCCAGACUCAUACGGGAGGCAGCAGUAGGGAAUCUUCCGCAAUGGGCGAAAGCCUGACGGAGCAACGCCGCGUGAGUGAUGAAGGGUUUCGGCUCGUAAAACUCUGUUAUUAGGGAAGAACAAAUGUGUAAGUAACUGUGCACGUCUUGACGGUACCUAAUCAGAAAGCCACGGCUAACUACGUG